AGACCUAAUGACUAACUGACAGAUGGGAGAAACUGAGACAGGGGUCUCCCUGCCUCAGUUUCUUCAUUUGCCAACAUGGGGCGGGGGGCUGUGGCGAUGAAGAGGGGAACCUGACGGGCAGUGGGAACUCAGGCAAGGUGUUAGAGCUCCUCUUGGAGCCCUGUGUCCUUAUCUCUUCCGUGAGUUGUCAUGGCAGAUGAUCCCCGGGGCCUUACUCAGCUCCAAACAGCUCCGGACAUGGAUGGGCUGAGAGAGCAGAAUGAUCGGAAUGCAAAUCCCAGUGCCAAGGAGGGUCAAACAGCCCUUCACGGGACCCUGGCAUAGGCCACAUAGAGAGCCGUGGAAGAGGCCCAAACCCCGUGGUUCUGGAGGUAGCAAGCAAGGGAGGGUACCAUCUGCCACAUUCUGGGCUGGGAUGUCACUGCCAGACACCACUCUGUAUCCAAAAGCACCUCAGAAGAGCUACCAGCCCAUUCACUCCACCAGGACGCAUCCUUGUAUCCUUCGGGGGUACUCCACACUCACAAUCUUAACCUUGACCUCGCUCCUCAAAGGUAAGUCUGCUCAUACUUAGGACUGUUUUAUAGGUGGAGAAACUGAGGCUGAAGGAGAUAUAAUCACUUAAGGUCUCUGAGCUGGGAGGAGACUUCUGCCUGUUUGCGUCUCAAGCCCACGCUCUUCACCUUGAGCCUCAUCUCUGUUCCCUUCUCUAAAAUGGGUUUGAUCAUUAUGCAUUAGUCUCCUGAGCAGCUGGCUUCAAGGAACCAAAGGGAGCCAUAUGUGUGUGAAAAGGACAUGAGCCUCUCUGGUGACCUUUACUCCCUUAAGACCCGGGUGUCUGGACCACAGCCUGAUGAGAGGACCUUGAAUUCAUGGCACCCGUGUCUUCUCUCUCCACAAAGGAAGGUCUUCAACUUUUUGAAGAAACAGACUGUUUUCCCUCGGCCUUGGACGCAGCCUGUGGGUAUUUCUGUCCCUGGCAUUCUUUGGCUGCAGGAAGAAGAGUCAUGCCCUUCUGAGCUUCCCGUGGGUGGGGUACAAGUUGGGCUCAGUGUGCUUCUGAUGUGCUGGUUCCUGGUCAAAAUCAGCCCAGAAGGCAGUUGUGCCUCGCUCGGUCUGUCCGAAUGCGCAAGUGGAUUCCCUAGAGCCGGGCUUUGGGGGGGAGUGCUGUCAGGGUUUUCCCACUUCUGGCUGCCAACCCCAGACUGCUAUACAAAUGAAAGGCGAUAUUAUUAAGUGAAAGAGCUUUAGGAACGGGAAAAAGCUGUCUUUGGGGCAGAACAUUUAUUAUUAAUUUUGAUGGAACUUGUUCUCGAAGCUCUUAAGAACUAGAAGGACUCUUAGAGACCAUCUCGCUCAGCCUUCCUGUGUUCCAGAUUAGGAAACUGAGGCCUGGACAGCAAGGAGAAGAAUAAUGAAGAUCUCACAGACCCUUGGACCUGUCCGUGCCUGCCCAAAGUCAGCCUGUCUCUUCGUCUGUGUUUGCUGUAGCUUUGGAGGUCAGCCACUGCCUUGCCUGCUCCUUGAGUCCCACAUCCCUAAGUAGAGGGCUUGGACCAGAAAACAUCAACACGCCUUUCACUUAUAACAUCCCAUGACCUUCCUGGCCUGAUUGCAUCUGUUUACGCCAGUCCUCUUGAGAACUAUGCAAAAAGGGAAUAGCCACUUCUUUGAAGACUAGUUUGUGGGGAAAGACGCAGCAACAAGGUUAGGGUAAACUGUUUGGAAUUUAUCACUAACUGCCAUGCUUUACUGUACGCUAAUCACUAGACACAGCCAUUUCCAGCGUAACACACCACUCCACCCAUCCAUCCGUAAGUCCUGGGCACAUCUGUAAUCUCUCAUGUUUCAUGAGACUCUAAGGGCUCCAGGGCUCCCAUCAGGUGGGAUGCUGGGACCUCCGUGGCUCUGCCAUCUUCUUCUGCCAACCAGCUCAGGCUUCAAGACCCAACUCAAAGGCUACUGUCUCCAUGAAGCACUUCCCAGUUUCCGCCCCACCCCCAGCCCUUGUACCUCUAUGGACAUCCGAGCUUCAAUUCUUCUUACCAAGUAGAUUAUUUGCUCUUAGGACUGCCCCGCUGGCUUGGUCUCUUUUCUUGGGUAGAGAUCCUUUUACAAUACUAUUCUUCCCAUAAUGCUUUGUAUAUCAAAGUCACACUACACAUUUCCUUAGGUCCUUGGGACACAAGCCAAGGCCAGGAACGGUUCUGGUUCUGCUGGAUUUUGCAACCAGGUUGAGUGAUAAAGGGAUUCAGACAGUUGAGUCUAGGGCAGAAAAACCUCGGCCUCCUGCUUUCCAUGCAUACAGACAAUAAACUUCUCAAACCGGAACAAGUGCUAUCAGGGAGGAGGAAGGUGGAGGCAGAGUCAAGUGUCUCAAAGGGCUAAGGAAGCAUGUUGUGCAGCGUGAGGUAUCGAACUGAUGGUCCAGACAGAGGCUUGGGCUUUCGGUGCCGAUGUGGCUGGGUGAACUGGGGGAAGUUUUGGCCUCUCUGCCUCAGUUUCUAUUUCUGAGAGAUAAAAGCAUCAGCUGUGUCCCGAUGACGCUCUUGUUCAUUUUACAGUAACCAAGUGUGUGAGCCUGAGGAAUGGAGGCACAGAGAUGCUCCAUUCUGUUACUUCUGGUCCCCACUGCAUGGACAGUUUGGCUGAAGACCAGGGCAGGCUAGGGCAGGGCCAGUGAGGGAGUAGAGAAGCUGACCUGGAGUCAGACAAACCUGGUUCAAGGCCUGACACAUCAGUUAUGAGCUAGCAGAGAGCCUUGGGGAAGUUGGGCAAGUUCUGGUCCAUCUGUCUAGAGUAGACUAUAAGCUCCCACAGGACAGAGACAAGCCUUUUUUUUUUUAAAAAAAAACCUCACUUUUAGCUUUAACACAACAGUCAAGACAGAGAACGUCAUUUCAAAACCUCCCUCGAGCCCUUCCUGCUGGCUCCAGCCACCUGGGUGGGUUGGUGUGCCUUGGGGCUUCAGAGAAGCCAGCAGAGGCAGGGGAAGGGGCCCAGAGCCAUCUCAGUAUCAGCCAGGGCAGGCCUGAGUAGUCUUGGACCAGGGCUCAGGAUAAAGACAGGAAAACAGGGGUCGUGCCACGCCGCUGCUACAGGCCGCUGGACCGAAGUCACAGCCCUGGACAGCAGGUUGUGGGUGUGGCGGAGGGGUUUCUUGGUGUAUCUCCGGAGGCAGUGAAGUUGGGGAUUAGCUCGGCUUUCCAGAGCAUAACUGGUCCCACAGCAACGGCUUGCGUUUGUCAAGAGCUGCUGUUUGUUUAACAUCUCAAGCCCAACUCAAACACAGAAGGCAACUGUUAGGAAAGCCGGGCUCUGUGGGCUGCUGGGGGAGAGCUGGGCUGGGAAGCUGGACACCUGGUCCUCUUAGUCUUGCUCUAGUUGGGCUGUGUGGCCCAGGGAGAAAGGCUGUUUCGGUCUGCGGCAAAGGAGGGCUCAGACUCAAAGGGUGCAGAAUCCCAGCUCCUAACAGGAGUGAGGACCAACUGGUCUCAGAAACACUGCCGGGGGGAGCUCUGGUUUGCUCCUGACUACCAUUGGCAUAAACAUAAAAUCCUCACCCUAAACGGCCUGUCCCAUGUCUGAUUGUACAUCCCCCUCCCCCCCACACUCUCCACCCCCUGGCCAGGCAGCCUUCCUUUCUCUGGCUUGUAAAUGCUACUCGCAGUGAGCAUCCUCCUCCAUGAGUGCUUGAGGAUGUGCUGGGAGCUGUGGCUAGGACCCAUACCCAGAAGUGGCCACAGUGUAUCUACAACACUCUCCCCCCAUGUGUUCCUAAAUCCUGCUGCUUGUCCUCAGCAGGCUAUCUUGGUUUUUAUUCUCCCCGGCAGUGUGGGAGAUUGCCCACUUCCUCCCCGGAGUUGCUAUUACUCACUUUCUGAUUUCGAUGUCGUUUCCAGGCCUCCCUAUUUUCUCCGUAGCCUCCUCCUUGUCUCUCUUUUCUCCUCUCUUCUUUAGAACCUCUGCAUCCCCACACUGGAAGCAGGGCCAGAGGGUGGACUCAGCCAUGACUGAGAUCUCUUACAGACCAACAGCCAGAGAAAUCCUUAGACCUCCAGUACCUAUGAAGAAAUAGUUUUGACAAGGAGCAUGGCUACCUCCAGGCUUUGGAGCACACGGGGCCAGAGCUGGAAUUCAUGCCCAGCUCCCCCAGCUGUCCUGUCUACAACCACGAGAUAAGUCCCUGUACUUGCCAUUUUCAUUGCAAGAAUCAAGUUCCCAGAUUGUCUCUUGGAGAGAUUCUAGAGUGGCCAUGGCCAAUCUUUCCGGACAAACACACAGCCACUGAAGAAAAGAAAGGCCGGACGUGUCGUCAACAGCUCACAAAUCUUGAAAUCCUCCUUUGCAGGUUUAUGGCUUCUGAGAAGCAGAGGCAGCCUGUUCUCAGCACCAAACACAAUAAUUAUAAUAGCACUCGCAAUGAUUAAUCAGCCAGCGCGUAUUGAGUGGUGCUGGGCAGGCACGGCAGGGCGUUCGUGUGUGUGUGUGUGUGUGUGUGUGUGUGUGUGUGUGUGUGUGUGUGUGUGUGUGUGUGUGUUGGGACAGGGGGACAGGCAAAAGUGGUGACUCCACUCCCACAAACUCCUUAAUGGAAGAGGGUAAAGUGGCACCACAACCCUUCUUGGAAGUGUCAUAUUUAGGGAUUCUGGGGCUGUCCAAAACUGCGGAUGAUGUUCUGGCUCAGGCAGGAUCCGGAGUUUCACAGGGCUAGCCGCCGAGAGCUCCAGACUGCAUCGAAAGCAAAGCAUUGACAAACAAGAACAGGUUCCAGGCCUGUCAACCAGAUUAAUGAGGGGCCUCGCCAGGAUGAUGUUCAUGGUACAAGUGAGAGAACUUGGGAUGUUCAGCCUGGAGAAAGACACGGGGGCCAUGUGAGCUGUCACCCAAGGAGGGAUUAGCUUUGUCCUGUGGGGCCAAGCAGGGACCAGUGAUCUGCGGAAUGAUGCAACCAGCAAGCAGCGGAAGAUGGAGUGUUCUCCACGUCUCCCAGGAAGGGACAAACUGCUGGGCAUGGCAGUGACCUCAUGGUGAAGAGGGCAUGCAGGCAUAGUCUAAUGGAUCCAUUUUAGAAAGAUUCUUGGAGUUAGUCUCAUGCCUGGCACAUAGUAUGUCUAUAAGAAAUGAGUGUAUUGGGUUCAGGGGCUAGACUAGAUGCCCUCUAUGAUCCAAGUGGGUUCAGUCUAACAUUUCUGGAGCAGUCUGUCUACGUCAGGCACUUUAUCCCUCCAGCCUGGAAUGUUGUAACUCCCUGGCUCUCAGCCUCCAGAGGGGCUGCUCUGGGCAUCUUGCUGCUGAAUCUCCCCAGUGACGUUUUCUCUUGACUAUCCCCAAACCAGCCCUAAAGCCCACCCACAUCUACCCCACAUGCUGCCCCCUGCGGAGGUCCAACAUGCAAUAUGCCCAGUAGCCCUGGGGCUUCAGCAAAGGAAAUGGGCCUGUGGCAGGCUAAUUACUGGGAGCUGAUUCUAUUAAGUAGAUAGCUCGCUCCCAGCAAAGCAAUUACACCUAAUCAGCCCCUUGCAGCAGCCCAAUGGGACAGCAGUGUGAGCCAGACACACGUGUGAGCAGGGACACCAAAGCAGCCUGGGAACAGGCCUGGCAGGAUCUUCUGAGGCCAGGGAUGCUCCCAAAGUAGUCUCAGGCUACCUUGAGGUCCCAGCACUGUGGAAACAGCACCGUGGUGGUGGUGGUGGGGGGGUGACUCAAACCCCUGAGUGAAGACUGAGCUCUGCUAUGGAGGAGCUGAACUUCACUGAAGAGAACACGUCUCAGACUAGAGAGGACCCAUUCCAAGCCUGAAUCGCUAGUCGGUUAGAUUCUCAUCUAGAUUAAAGUUAGUCGAAAGAAACCCAUUUGCUGAGCUAGAGAGACAGUUCAGUCUCUUGCUUUGCAGAUGCAAGGACCUGAGUUCAACCCCACAGUCUACAUUAACAAAAACCAGACAGGACAGUGCACAUUUGUAAUCCCAGUGCGGGGAAGGUGGAGACAAAUGGAUCCUUGGGCUUCACUGGUCAGCUAAUUUAGCCUACUUGGUGAGAUUCAAGCUGGUGAGAGACCCUGUCAGUACUUGGUGAGAUUCAAGCCGGUGAGAGACCCUGUAUGUACUUGGUGAGGUCCAGCCAGUGAGAGACCCUGUCUGUACUUGGUGAGGUCCAGCCAGUGAGAGACCCUGUCUGUACUUGGUGAGGUCCAGCUGG